GUUUUGGGUCAAUUUGAUAAGAUAUUAGAAUUUAUAUUAUAAACAAAUAGAAUUUAUAUUAUAUCUCACUACAUAUUUAUGUAUAAUUUGUAAAAGCUUCUUUUGGUAGUCUUAUUAUACUUGUAAAAAUAUAUAUAUAAAUUUUUAUAUAUAAAUAUGUGUAUAUAUAUGUAUGUAUUUAUGUAUCUAUUAGGACUCUACACCAAGUAUUUUCCCCCAAGUAUUCUACAUCAAGUUUUCACCCCUUCUGGACUCAUGGCAGGAUGGCACUUCCUGCCCCCUUGUGGUUCUGGCCAUAGAGCUAUGACUGGGAAUGACAUUUCCCCCAUAGAUUUGGUUUAUAACACAUAUUAUCACACAAAAGUUCAUGUAUAAAUUAAAGUGCUAUCUUGAGAUUUGUAUCUCGUCCAUAGGGGAGCAUCCCUGCUCAUCCCAUUUUGAGCUUAGAUAUUCUCAUAUAAUUCAUAGAGCAGAUGGCAGGUGCAUUUCCUGAAGUAGGGUAGUAGUUCUGCUUUGCCAUUCUGUUCUUGUUCCUUUUCCCCCUCUCUGAUUUUCACAGGUCAAGCAAUCAGAAAAAAAGAUUCUGCAGCAUUCGCGUCCCAGUAGGAUUCCAGCCAGUAUAUCAGUCAUUUAUGGACAUAGGUCUUCAGCAUCAACUGGAACCCCUGCUGUAGAAGCCUAUUUUUCCCAUCAUCCCACUUAUGAAAUCAUAGAAUCUCUCUGUUACAGGAAACUUCUUUCUCUACAUUGAGGGGGAACAAUUUAUAUCAUUGUAUUUUUUUAUAAGAGAGAGAGAGAGGAGAGAGAAUUUUAAUAUUUAUUUUUUAGUUCUCCGCGGACACAACAUCUUUGUUGGUAUGUGGUGCUGAGGAUCGAACCCGGGCCGCACGCAUGCCAGGC
rnacentral:lncRNA from 1 species